GACAUAGCUCAGUGGCAGAGCAUCGACUUUGCAUACAGAAGAUCCCAGGUUCAAUCUCUGGCAUCUCCA
rnacentral:tRNA from 1 species